rnacentral:lncRNA from 1 species
AUGGCCUGCCUGGGGCUUGGUGGCCGCUGGGACCCAGAGCUGGGGUUCGGGGCGGUGGUGCGGCUGCGAGGGCAUCGGCUAGAGGGGGCUUGCUCUGGGGGGCCCCCGGGGAGCCUGGCCGGGGUGCUGGCUGCCGCCUGCCCCCAGGCCGGGAACAAUGCGGCCUCUAUCCCCCGAGCCGGCCAGCCAGGCGGGCCUCCCGCAACAUGGCGCCCGGGGCCGCGCCGCCUGUCCACGGGGAGGGCUGGCGCCCGGACCAGCCCGGCCCCCCGCGUCCUCCCCGGGCCGGCCUCGCAGUGGCCAGACGCCGCGGCCGCCCCCUUCCUCCCCCGCUGGGCCGGCCCCGGCCCCCUCCCGCCGGCGAUGGGUUUGGGGGUCCGGCCCACCCGCCGCUGCCACGUCUGCCACCCUCCCAGCACCCACGAGCAUCUUUCAAAAAUUCCCGGUGGGCGGGGCCGAGCCGCAGCGGCCGCCUCUGGCCCCCCCUCCCCGGCAGCCAGUGCCAGAGGAGAGCAGGAGACAAAAGUAGCAUUUUCCUCGCCCUCCUGGGCUGGCGGCGGGGCCUCCCCAGCGCCCUCGGCUCCUGGCCGGCCUGCCUCCGGGUUGCCGGGGUGGCCGAGGCCGCGGCCACGCCGGCCGGGACCGAGGGGACCGGUGGACGCCGGUGGCCACAGCCGAGGCGCCCGAGGGCUGGCGCCCGGGCCGGCCCUCCUCUGCCUGCCGCGGGGCCUGGCUGGGGCGACGGCCGCCGCCUUCACUGCCUUGCUGUGGACCAGCUCUCCGUCCUCCUGCGCCCGGUACCAUCAAGGUGCGAGCCUGGGAGAGGCUGGCCUCCCCUGCCAGACCAACUCGGUGACGAGUCUGCUGUUGCCCGCAGCCUUCGGUGUGGAUCCACCGUGUGCCUGCCAGGCUCUCGGGAACUCCACAUUCGUUUGCUCAGACAGACAACAGCUUUGGACGAACGUGGCUGCUCCAAGAGCACCUCCAGGAAGCUGGACGCCUGUCGUGGACUUCGGAAGACGCUCCAGCACCAUGUAACCAUGUGGCCAGUCUUUGCCACGUGUCUGGCUGGCAGGGCAGCCCAGGAGGCCUCGUCCCUCCGCCCCGACGCCUUGGUCCUCAGCUGGCGCCCGGAGCUCGGAUGACUGUGCCACCCUCAGGCCAG